GACGUAGGGCGCGAGCGUUGUCCGGAUUUAUUGGGCGUAAAGAGCUCGUAGGCGGCUUGUCGCGUCGUUCGUGAAAACCUGCAGCUCAACUGCAGGCUUGCGGUCGAUACGGGCAGGCUAGAGUUCGGUAGGGGAGACUGGAAUUCCUGGUGUAGCGGUGAAAUGCGCAGAUAUCAGGAGGAACACCGGUGGCGAAGGCGGCAUCCUGGACCGGUAUUGACGCUGAGGCGCGAAAGCUAGGGUAGCAAACGGG
rnacentral:rRNA from 1 species